UACGGAGGGAGCUAGCGUUGUUCGGAAUUACUGGGCGUAAAGCGCACGUAGGCGGCGAUUCAAGUCAGAGGUGAAAGCCCGGGGCUCAACCCCGGAACUGCCUUUGAAACUAGAUUGCUAGAAUCCUGGAGAGGUGAGUGGAAUUCCGAGUGUAGAGGUGAAAUUCGUAGAUAUUCGGAAGAACACCAGUGGCGAAGGCGGCUCACUGGACAGGUAUUGACGCUGAGGUGCGAAAGCGUGGGGAGCGAACAGG
rnacentral:rRNA from 1 species